UGCCCUCUAGCUAUAGCAGCAGUCUAGCGCCGGCAGUCACGCUAUAGCAGCGGUUUAGCGUUCGAUCGUCGCGACAUCUAUAUUAGUUAAGCGCCGAUAGUCACGCUAUAGCAGCAGUUUGGCGUUCGAUCGUCGCGACAUCUAUAUUGACCGAGUGUGAUUACGCGUGGGUAUUUACAAGUACUCGAAUGUGGCAGGUACUUUAAAUACUCGAAUACCAUUCUGAUGAAUAUUUCCACGGUUUUCUUUGAAUGCUAUGAACAAUAUUUUGUACAACGUUUUCCGAAACAAAUAAUUCUGCGUUUUGUGUUUCACGUUUUCGAAUCUAAGAACCUAAAACAUUGUGACGUGUCAGCAGUUUCGGUAUGAUAGUGGUGGGCACUGUCGUGUUCCUGCCACGCCCGUUUUGUGCGGCCGACAUUCUUGUUCAGGAUUGUUUCUGAGGAUGGUUUGAUUUCCCUGGCGCUAAUGAGAAUAAUAUGAAGAGACUGUUUCGACCGUGUGUCAGAGGGAAUCAGCCCCCAGUUAGUCCGGCAUGAGGUGCACACAGUCAGUAAGUUUAACCGAUUGAACUGGUCGUUUCAGUCUUAUGAUAGUAUGUGCCUAGUAUGUGCUACUUGCAGUCGAAAUGUGUCAAGGACGAACGAGUAUGGGUCAUGUCAAGGUCUAAUCGUCAGAUCGAGUGUGGCUCAGUUGUUGUGUUAGGGAAGAGCUCACUGCUGCUAUAUGUGACGAUUGUUCUGACGUGUUGCAGAAACGGAUCUAUAGACAAGAUGAAUACAAGGUCCUGUGUUUGACUACACCUGUUUUGGGACGGAGACAUGCCGGAACUAACAGUUUUGACUGUCUGCUACAAGACUGCUCAUCCGACUGCAACUGGAGUGCAUCUACCACGAGACUGCUCACCCGACUGCAGUGAGUGCAUCUACCACGAGACUGCUCAUCCGACUGCAGAAUAAUAUGAAGAGACUGUUUCGACCGUGUGUCAGAGGGAAUCAGCCCCCAGUUAGUCCGGCAUGAGGUGCACACAGUCAGUAAGUUUAACCGAUUGAACUGGUCGUUUCAGUCUUAUGAUAGUAUGUGCCUAGUAUGUGCUACUUGCAGUCGAAAUGUGUCAAGGACGAACGAGUAUGGGUCAUGUCAAGGUCUAAUCGUCAGAUCGAGUGUGGCUCAGUUGUUGUGUUAGGGAAGAGCUCACUGCUGCUAUAUGUGACGAUUGUUCUGACGUGUUGCAGAAACGGAUCUAUAGACAAGAUGAAUACAAGGUCCUGUGUUUGAC
rnacentral:misc_RNA from 1 species